CCUUUUCCCUCUCUCUUGUCCUGGUUUGAAGGAAGCUCAGUGUGUGGGAGCUUGCAAUUUUUGUUCUUACUGAGGCUUUGCAGUACCCACACCACCAUCAUACAUCACUGUGUUGUGGUUUGAUUUUAAAAGGGGGUGGUGGGUAAGGGGAUGUGAAAGAAAAGGGAUCAUUUUGUAAAGUGUAUUAAACUUUGAUACUCAGUUCCAGUCAAUACAUGUAGACCAGAAAAAUCUGUCUGAUUUGUGCAUCUGAGCGGAGUUCUCCAUCUGACCCUCAGCUUCUUUCUGUAGAUACAUACAUACAUAAAUCUAAGUAUGUUCUUAUGACAGAACAUUGCUGACCUCUAGAUUGAGGUUCGUAGGUUGUUGUUUAUUUUCUCCUCCUGCAAGUGCUAUCCAUGUGAGUGUGUGAAGUUUUCUCUAAUAAGUAAAACACAGGCCCUUUGCCUUGUUUGUUUUGUUAGUUUAUUGUAAACAGCCAUUUGUUGUAAAUUAUUAUUGGCAUUAAAUUAUAAUUUAUGAUUUUCAAAGC
rnacentral:lncRNA from 1 species